GGGGAAUAUUGGACAAUGGGGGCAACCCUGAUCCAGCAAUACCGCGUGUGUGAAGAAGGCCUGAGGGUUGUAAAGCACUUUCAGUGGGGAGGAGGGAGUAUAGGUUAAGAGCUAAUACUUUGGACGUUACCCACAGAAGAAGCACCGGCUAACUCCGUGCCAGCAGCCGCGGUAAUACGGAGGGUGCAAGCGUUAAUCGGAAUUACUGGGCGUAAAGAGUGCGUAGGUGGUUGAAUAAGUUAUCUGUGAAAUCCCCGGGCUCAACCUGGGCAGGUCAGAUAAUACUGUUUAACUCGAGUGUGGGAGAGGGUAGUGGAAUUUCCGGUGUAGCGGUGAAAUGCGUAGAGAUCGGAAGGAACACCAGUGGCGAAGGCGGCUACCUGGCCUAACACUGACACUGAGGCACGAAAGCGUGGGGAGCAAAC
rnacentral:rRNA from 1 species